rnacentral:rRNA from 1 species
UGGGGAAUAUUGCACAAUGGGCGAAAGCCUGAUGCAGCGACGCCGCGUGAGGGAUGACGGCCUUCGGGUUGUAAACCUCUUUCAGUAGGGACGAAGCGCAAGUGACGGUACCUGCAGAAGAAGCACCGGCUAACUACGUGCCAGCAGCAGCGGUAAUACGUAGGGUGCGAGCGUUGUCCGGAAUUACUGGGCGUAAAGAGCUCGUAGGCGGUUUGUCACGUCGUCUGUGAAAUCAUAGGGCUUAACCCUGGACGUGCAGGCGAUACAGGCUGACUUGAGUACUACAGGGAAGACUGGAAUUUCUGGUGUAGCGGUGGAAUGCACAGAUAUCAGGAAGGACACCGAUGGCGAAGGCAGGUCUCUGGGUAGUAACUAACGCUGAGGAGCGAAAGCAUGGGUAGCGAACAGG